CUCUAACUAAAUGCACUUCUUACUUUGAAUAAUGAAAAUGUAAAAAACUAAUCGUGAGAAGUAAUGACUUUUUAAACUCCAAACAUAACAUAAAAUGAAGAAAAUCAAUAAAAUUUACAUUUUCACGCAUUUUACAACAGGACUAUUAGGUUAGCUCAUACAUACAAUCGUCAACAGAUAUCUCCUCCCACCACCCAAAAAAUGUGAACGAUUCCAACAAUAAAAAAGUAUCAAAUAAAUAUCAAAUGUUAAAAUAGAAAAAUAAAAAGACACAACGGAAA
rnacentral:lncRNA from 1 species